rnacentral:rRNA from 2 species
GUCGAGCGAAUCGAUGGGAGCUUGCUCCCUGAGAUUAGCGGCGGACGGGUGAGUAACACGUGGGCAACCUGCCUAUAAGACUGGGAUAACUUCGGGAAACCGGAGCUAAUACCGGAUACGUUCUUUUCUCGCAUGAGAGAAGAUGGAAAGACGGUUUACGCUGUCACUUAUAGAUGGGCCCGCGGCGCAUUAGCUAGUUGGUGAGGUAAUGGCUCACCAAGGCGACGAUGCGUAGCCGACCUGAGAGGGUGAUCGGCCACACUGGGACUGAGACACGGCCCAGACUCCUACGGGAGGCAGCAGUAGGGAAUCUUCCGCAAUGGACGAAAGUCUGACGGAGCAACGCCGCGUGAACGAAGAAGGCCUUCGGGUCGUAAAGUUCUGUUGUUAGGGAAGAACA